rnacentral:misc_RNA from 1 species
GAAAUGCGAUAAGUAAUGUGAAUUGCAGAAUUCCGUGAAUCAUCGAGUCUUUGAACGCACAUUGCGCUCCCUGGUAUUCCGGGGAGCAUGCCUGUCCGAGCGUCAUUUUCAACCCUCCAAGCCUGGCUUGUGUGAUGGGCCAGCGUCCCCACGACCUUCCGGGAGGGGGACGGGCCCGAAAUGCAGUGGUGAUGUCUAGGUUGACGACCCGAGUGUAUGGGGCUCUGUCACACGCUCGCGGUAUGCCUUUCGACACCCGCCUUUAAACCUUUCCUUUCUAAAGUUGACCUCGGAUCAGGUAGGGAUACCCGCUGAACUUAA